rnacentral:lncRNA from 10 species
GAGAGUCAGGGAUGGUCCCAGCCAUAUUCCUACUUUAUCAAGACACAAAAUUAUUACACAAAGGACCCCCGCCCACCACCCAGCAAAUUCCACUUUAUCUUAUUGAUCAAUACUUAGCCAAAUAUCCAUCCUACUCUAUAAGGAAGAUAUAUUAAUAGAAAGAGAGUAUCUGUUUUUUUUCAGCCUCCCUACUGGCAAGGAGAAGGAAAUUGGCAAUGGAUGUUGGUGUCUUUCUUGGUGCUCUUGAGGAGGUGGGAAAAGGGAUGCUUAGAGCCAUAUGAUGGCCUUGACAGUGCCCUUUGUCUGGCUGACUUUUGCUGAUUUCAUCAGCCUUUCUGGAUGACUUAGGCUCAUCUUGACCCUGAACAGGCUUCAGACCCCAGCCACACACUGAUAUCUCUGUCAUCCACUGCCCAGAUGGCACAGCCUAAUGCCUUUACUGUGGAGUUGCUCAUUCCCACUACAAUAGCUGCUCAUUUCCACAUUACACAGAAGGAGGUGCUGAGAUGCACCUUCUUCUGCCUAAUCACACUCUGCUAUCAUGUUUAUUUGUAAUAUGGAUCUACCACUCAAUUGAUCUGGAGACAGCCUGCAAGUUAUAUCCUUUUAGAAUAAGACAAAAGCUUCCUGGUUCUUGGAAUUCCAUAUUUUGUCCAGUAUCCCAAAGAUACUCUCCCCUCACUAGCUUAGCCUUGAGUGUGUUAAUGGGGAGGGCAGUGAGGGGACUCUGAUAUCUUCUUUCCUCAACCUCUUUCUCUCUUCUCUAUCCUCUCACUCUCAAAUGCCCCUCUGUAAUCAUUUUCUUCUUUCCUCCAGGUCACAUUCUUCAUCUUCCAAAUUCCAUUCUCAUGGCUAAGCUUAAAUACUAGUCAGAUGGUCUCUUCUAUACAUGUGGUGUUUUAACUAUACAGUUGAUAUAUAUACAUAUCACAUACACAUAUACAGGUAUGUUCACAACUAUACACAUAUAUUAGCAACUAUUAAAGAAACAAAAAACUGAUAUGAUAAUUUAGUAUACUGUUGUAUAAUUUGAUUGUGAAAUAGGAUGGUCUACUAUAAUAUAAGUAUUAUAUGGUCUACAUGUGAAUAAAAGUGUUUCAGAAGUUUUGAACAUGAAAUUGUACUAAAUAUUCAAACUAUAUUAGCCAAGUAUAAUUUAACUGUGAUGAUCUAAAAGACCCUGUAGGCUCUUUUCUCAUCCAAGAUUAUCAUUACGAACACUAACUGUCAUUGUGUGGUAUAUCUGUGAAUACAUUAUUUAGUUGAUGUUUUAGAUUGACUGAAUUGAAGAUAAGUUAACUAUACAGUUUCGCACACUUAUUUUUGAGUAAAUAAGUUUUAAUAUUAAGGUUAGCUGUCUUUUUCUCAGGGACAUUUCCCUGACAUAUCCAACUAAAUUAUAUUUUUCAUUUAUAUGCUCUUAUUGCACGCUAUAUUUGUUCUUUGUAUCAUUAAUCAUAUUGUAAUUGAAUAAUUGUUUAUGUAACUGUUUAAUAUUAAGCUCUCCUAUUCCACUGUAAAUGCCACAACUGUAGGGACUUUAUAUGUCUACUUCAGCAUUUAUUCCUAUCAUCUAAAUGCAGUGCCUGGCACUUAGUAGCUAUUUGGUAUAUAUUUUUUGGCUGGAUAAAUAAGAGGUCAAAUAGGUUAAGAACUGAGAAAUGUCACUUGAAUUUAAUAACAAACAUGAUGACAGCAAUUUCAAUGAAUUAAUGGGAAAGACAUGAGACCACAGAUAGGUAAACACUGCAAAAAAGCACUGAGGAACCAGAAGGAAAACCAAAGCCAAAGUUACUAACUUUAUCUAAAAUGACAAAAUCUUUGUCUGUUUAUUAUAUGUUAUUUUAAUUAAAAAAUUAAAUCUAAAGUGUCAGGCAAAAAAUUACUAAAUUAUUUUUAUUAAAUUGACCAUUAACAUGUCUCUGAGAAUCAACACAGAGAAGACCUUUAUAAGUGGCAGGUUCUCUUGUGAUAUUAACCUCUUUCAGUUUUGCUUGCACACUUGUUUUGAGCUCUCCAGAGUUUGGCAGCCAAGAGGACAUACAUACACAUAACAGAAUAAGGCAAUAUGUUCAAUUUGGUUACUAUGAACAAAUUGAAGAUGUGCCAUAGAAACUGUCAUUUGGAUAUUUGAAUAAAACUCCCACUUAAAAUUGGGUUAAGAUUUUUCUUUCAGGAUGCUAUAUGCACAUUUUAUUUUCUUUCUGUCCUGACAGAAAGGACACUUCUUUGUAUGUUUCUUCUCUGCCUUUAAAGGUGAUUUUAUUAUUUUAAGUGUCUGUUUUAACCAUCAUGUGAAGUUAAAGACAAGAAUGGAAUGACCUUUAGUUUCAGAGCCAUAAAUAUUUCAAAAGAAAUAGACCUUUUGAGCUCAGGAAAGGUGUGUCAGAUGAACAGGUGUCACUGUAGGUUAAUGAGUUGGCUUUCACCACCAGCCACCUGGACUGUAAUUUGGGUUGGGUCACACAUGUGCAUGAAGUUGGCCAAUUUAAUCCUGGCUCUCUUGGAACUGUCUCCAUAUUAGAAAGCCAUCAAACAAAGAGUCCACUCCGAACCUUAUCAUCAGUCUCCUAAAGAAAGAUUGGGAUUGAAAUGGCAAGAAAAUUAAAGCCCAGGUCCUUCGGCAGGCAGUUGGCAGGCGCACAGUUUUCUCUCCAUACAGUGCUUCUCAUUAACCAGCUAAUGAGUCCUUAGCGAUGACUGAGUGACUCAACUGAAAGCAGAACAAUGAUAAGUGAAAGGGAGUUGUAGAGACACACGUUCAGAAAAAAAAAAAAAAAUGUACCAAGCUAAAAACAGAAGUAAAUUACAUCUUUAGUUAACAAACAUGGGCAUGUGGGGUGUUUAUGAGCAGAGAAGAGACUGAUCAGUGUAAUCUAAGAACGGCACAGGAUUGAGGUAUGAACAACUUCUCUAAAAAACCAACAGAAUUUAAAUCCAUCAGGGAUCUUGCAAAAGGCAUAUGGUAAAGAAGCUGUCCAUCCAUUCUCUUCCUGUGAUUCUUUUUAUGUGACAUUCACUUAUUAUUUAUGACUGUGCUUAAGGAAGCCAUCUGGUAAAGUUAGUCAUAAACUACCUGCUCCUCUCUGUUUUUUUGUUGAGUACUUAGUCAUUGUAUUACCUUUUACACAGUCCUUGGCUCAUGCAUACAUUUCACAGACUACCUUCUUUAUGAGGUCAGAAUGAAGCAGGCCACAGGCUGAAGUCCUGAAGUUACCUUUAUUGGUAUUUAAUUGUGGGCUCCCAUCUCAUCUAACAUCCUGCUGCCAGGUGUGGCAGAGAGUGACAGCACCUCAGAAGCACAUCUCUACCAGUAAAUCUUGAUCACAUUUAUGCAUCUUAUAUUUCUGUCAUUACUGUAUUUCCAAAGUGUCCUUUUCACAUGGCCAUUUUAUUGCUCCUUUUGAGUUCCAAAGUUCUCUGACUUCAUCUCUCAGUGCCAAAAAAGGCAUUAUACUAUUCUGUUGGUCUUAUCAUCUUCCAGAAAACAAUAAUGGCUUUGUUGUAUGCCUUUAGUUAAAUGUGUUCAUUGUGCCAGCAAGACAGGAGUUAGGCAUGUCUUCUAGUACAGACUUAAGUCUAACUAGAGAGGGUUUUGGCCUCCUCUAUUCUCUAUCCCAGGCCCAGCUUUAGAAUUGAUUUCCCCUGCUGUAGAGCAUACAUUUGGUGCAUUUUAUUUCUAGACAUUAAAUUCUUCUUAGGCUUACUUGUGUAUACUUUCAAAAUGUUAAGUAGUUACAAAUUUGUUUUUGUUUAGCCCUUUAAAAAGUGGCCCAGGAUUAAAGUAAUGAGAUGAAACUAAUACAAACUGAAGGAAAUAUGACAAUUUGAGGUAUCUUGGGAACUUCGUUUUAAGUCAUUGCAAUAUUUAUAGAAUAUUUCCACAGAUAAGAAGAAAUGCUUACUUACUUCAGAUGACCUAGGAUGGACCAAAUAGUUGUAAACACUUUAAAAAAUAUUAUUGGAAGAAAAUUUCUAUGUAAUUUAAAGCUCAUAUAUAUAAACAUUGCCUUUUGAAUAUUACAAUUUAAUAAGUCAUGAAACACCACAGAGGGGUACAUCCACACCAAGCAGCUUCAAAGCCAGAAAGACUAUGACAAGCUUUCCUUGGACUCUUUUCCGCUCUCUAUUCCAGAUCCCAUGGCUUUCCAUGCUAGGAACCUAGCAAUGGCACCAUUAACUCCUGAAAGGAAAAGUCCUCCUGUCAACCUGAGAAAUUACCCAAAAAUACCCUUUGCUAAAAAAUUCUAAUUGCUUUCUGUAGUCCAAUACACAAUUUGACAUGCCAGGAGACCAUGUUGCAAUAUCUUUUGAGGCUGAAAGAAGGAAACUCAAUGAAAGAAUUCUACAUGAGGUGUCAAUGUAUCACUAAUGUGAAUAAAUCAAAUUAAAUAUUUCAAGAAUGGGGGUCUUAUGGUUAAAAAUAGUAUUAAAAAUAAACAUUAACGCAUGAAACAUAAACUUAGAUUUUUAAAGUUUUGAAUAUUUAUAAAAUUGGAUGCAAAUAGCCAAAUUAAUUAUGUAAUGAAAUUAUAUAAUAUCAAAUGAUGUAGUUGCAUUAAUCUGGGUUAUAUUACCAAAAACUAGGAAGCAAUUAUAAGAAUGAGAAAUGGGUUAGGGAAAGAAUAAAAAUAUGCAGUAUUCUUUAAAACACUCCUUUCAGUCUUGACAUCAGAAAGAACUUUAGA